ensembl:lncRNA
CAGUGAAAACAAGAAUAUUGUGAAAUAUUAUUACAAUUUAAAAUAUCUGUAUUCUUUUAGAACAUAUUUUAAAAUAUAAUUUAUUCCUGUGAUGUAAUUUAUUCCUGUGAUGUAAAGCUGAAUUUUCAGCAUCAUUACUCCAGUCUUCAGUGUUCUAAUAUGCUGAUUUGCAGCUCAAGGAACAUUUCUUAUUAUUAUAAGUGUUGAAAAUAGUUUUGCUGCUAAAAAACUGUGUGUGGAAAUAAUAAUAAAAAAAUUAAAAAAAUUCAGGAUCCCUUGCUGUAUGUCAAAAGAACAGCAUUUAUUUAAAAUAUAAAUCUUUACUGUCACUUUAAACAAAAUAAAGUGUCUUUUCCAAAUAAAAAUAUUAAUUUCUUAAAAAGAAAUUACAAAUCCCACAUUUUUGGUUGAUUUAUUAAUUAAUUAAUUUAUUAUCUGUGCACAAUAUGUUACAUACAAGUGUGAGGGCGAUGCAUUAGUAAGAACUGAAAUUUUAAAUAGACAACACAUUUUAUUUUUAUUGUGAAUGGAACAUUUCACAUCAAAUCUUUGGUCACCCCAGAGCUUGCAUUUAUUGUCAUUUUUAAUAAUAUUUAAAAAAUGUCAUCUUUCAUUCUGAUAGCAAAUGGUCUAUUGACACUGUGUUUAAUAUGCAGUAAAGUUAUGCUGUCAUGCAGUUGCAUUAUGGGCCGUUAACAUGUUUUAAGCAUUUUUCUGAAAGCUAGGUUUCUUUACAUAUACUCUAAUAUAGACUCCAUAAGAGAAUACAGAGCUUCUCUACAAGUAAAAUAAAAUAGAAAUAUUUCUGUUUAACCCUGCCUUCUGUCACGGCCUCUUGCCUUUUCGUCUUCCUCUCUUCCCUCUCUAGGUGUUCAUCAGCUGCUCAAUCAUCAUAUGCGAGGCAAACAAUCCCAACACCCGCUGCUCUCAGGGCUGCGUCAACAGCACAGUCGCUCCACCGGCCCACCACCAUCACAAAAGAGAGGCUCCCAUCCAGAGCGCCAGUCACUUCAUCUCCCAGGGGCCCCUGCGGCUAAAGAGGAGUGCAUCACAGGCCACCGUAAGCCCGGGACUGAAUCUAAACCUUGUCGUCAUCGCUAUUUGUCUCGUGGCAACAGUUACCAUGGUGUGUGGAGUGAUCGUCUACAGAGCCAGAGGGCAAAGGAUCAGAUACAAACCUGUGCCAUCGCAUGAGUUUUAGUUAUGUCAGCUUUUUUUUUUUUUUCAAAGCAUAAUGCUUUAUUUUGCCUGUGAAAACAGAGAAUUAACUAGACUAUUGGUGUGCUUUCAAAAAGCUGUGAUAGGAAUCUCUGGUCAAAGUGUUUUUUUUUCUUUCUUUUAUAAUCAUUUUCAGUUCAUAUAUAUAAAUUCUACCAGAGUUGAUAAGCUUGAUUCAUUUCUGUGAAUCAGUUUAAACUGUCUGUUUCAGUGAAUCAGAUUUCAUUUGUGUCAUUACUAAAAAAAAAACAAACAAAAAAAAACUGCACAGAAGACUCUAUGAGUUAUUGUGUUUUUUUCUUUUUUUCCCCCUCAGAUGUUUUUGCAGUUUUAUAUGUUGGGCAAUAUGCUUUUUAUUUCUAUGUAUUAUGCUGGUGUAUGUUGUUGAUUUUCAGUGAAAUCUGAUGCCUUAUUCUUUUAAACUAGAGUGUUACUGUAUUUUACUUUGUGCAUUUUUAUUCAUCAUGGCUUCAGUUAGUUUUGUUCAAAACAUGUUAUUCUGAUUCACCUUUUAAAGCCAUUUCAGAGCAAAUACACACUGUAAAUUGUGAGAUGUUAUUAUUUGGCUAUAUUACCCAGCUACUGUAUAAUAAUAUAGGCCAACACAGAGACGAGAUAUUUUCAGAGAACCAGACAUGCAAAACAAUCAGUCAUUCAAAUAAUAGUGAAAACGUCUCCAUGAAAGGUUAUAGAGACAAUGCCAAACAAAUGUAAGAUCAAAACAUGCCAAAAUAACCACAUUUGUUUGACUAUUGGGAGACCUUUGAUUGUUCAACAUCAUGAGCAUGAGUUUGUCCACCACACAUAUAAGGAGUGAACAAUACUUAUAUUCUGAGGUAUCUUUUAAAUAAAGACACACAAUAGCUUGCUAAACA